rnacentral:rRNA from 1 species
GACGAACGCUGGCGGCGUGCUUAACACAUGCAAGUCGAGCGGAUAGGCCCUUUCGGGGGUACUCGAGCGGCGAACGGGUGAGUAACACGUGAGUAAUCUGCCCCUGGCUUUGGGAUAGCCACCGGAAACGGUGAUUAAUACCGGAUACGACACUUCUCGCAUGGGAUGGUGGUGGAAAGUUUUUCGGCCAGGGAGGUGCUCGCGGCCUAUCAGCUUGAUGGUGAGGUCAUGGCUCACCAUGGCUUCGACGGGUAGCCGGCCUGAGAGGGUGAGCGGUCACACUGGGACUGAGACAAGGCCCAGACUGCUACGUGAGGCAGCAGUGGGGAAUAUUGGACAGUGGGCGGAAGCCUGAUCCAGCAACGCCGCGUGAGGGAUGACGGCCUUCGGGUUGUAAACCUCUUUCAGCAGGGACGAAGCGCAAGUGACGGUACCUGCAGAAGAAGCACCGGCCAACUACGUGCCAGCCGCCGCCGUAA